CUACGUGAGCUAGCACAGCCAGUAUCAAUAUCUGCUUGCUAAGUAUGUGUGCAACAGAAGGCAAUCUGAACAUAAGAACAAAUUAAGACAGCCUAGAAAUUGCACAGAUGAAGAAUCUACAAACAAGGACAUUAAAGAAUAUUAAAGCAGCACAGAGAAGUUAUUUCCAAGAAUUCAAGAAGCUUCAAAAAACAAAAGUUACACCAACACUUGUGAAGCUGGCCUAAUACACAGCAUGUGCACAAACCAAGACUUAUGUGGCUGAUGGCACCUUUUCAUCCAGAGCUUUGUGGUGUUCAAAUAAGGACUUCAGUGCUUUCAGCACUUCCACUUCGCUGGACACGCCUGCUGGAGACUGCGCUUGUCUCUUCACCACGGUCAUCCUAAGAGACCGCUCAUGCCUGGAGACAAGGCAUUCCAAAUGCUCUAACAGCAGCUGAAAUAAAAGGCCAAAAUAAAGACUUGUUAAACAGCA